GAUGAACGCUAGCGGGAGGCCUAACACAUGCAAGCCGAGCGGUAUUGUUUCUUCGGAAAUGAGAGAGCGGCGUACGGGUGCGGAACACGUGUGCAACCUGCCUUUAUCUGGGGGAUAGCCUUUCGAAAGGAAGAUUAAUACUCCAUAAUAUAUUGAACGGCAUCGUUUAAUAUUGAAAGCUCCGGCGGAUAGAGAUGGGCACGCGCAAGAUUAGCUAGUUGGUGAGGUAACGGCUCACCAAGGCGAUGAUCUUUAGGGGGCCUGAGAGGGUGAUCCCCCACACUGGUACUGAGACACGGACCAGACUCCUACGGGAGGCAGCAGUGAGGAAUAUUGGUCAAUGGGUGCAAGCCUGAACCAGCCAUCCCGCGUGAAGGACGACUGCCCUAUGGGUUGUAAACUUCUUUUGUAUAGGGAUAAACCUACCCUCGUGAGGGUAGCUGAAGGUACUAUACGAAUAAGCACCGGCUAACUCCGUGCCAGCAGCCGCGGUAAUACGGAGGGUGCGAGCGUUAUCCGGAUUUAUUGGGUUUAAAGGGUCCGUAGGCGGACUUAUAAGUCAGUGGUGAAAGCCUGUCGCUUAACGAUAGAACUGCCAUUGAUACUGUAAGUCUUGAGUAUAUUUGAGGUAGCUGGAAUAAGUAGUGUAGCGGUGAAAUGCAUAGAUAUUACUUAGAACACCAAUUGCGAAGGCAGGUUACCAAGAUAUAACUGACGCUGAGGGGCGAAAGCGUGGGGAGCGAACAGGAUUAGAUACCCUGGUAGUCCACGCCGUAAACGAUGCUAACUCGUUUUUGGGCUUUAGGGUUCAGAGACCAAGCGAAAGUGAUAAGUUAGCCACCUGGGGAGUACGCUCGCAAGAGUGAAACUCAAAGGAAUUGACGGGGGCCCGCACAAGCGGUGGAUUAUGUGGUUUAAUUCGAUGAUACGCGAGGAACCUUACCAAGACUUAAAUGGGAAUUGACAGCUUUAGAAAUAGAGCUUUCUUCGGACAAUUUUCAAGGUGCUGCAUGGUUGUCGUCAGCUCGUGCCGUGAGGUGUUAGGUUAAGUCCUGCAACGAGCGCAACCCCUGUCACUAGUUGCCAUCAUUCAGUUGGGGACUCUAGUGAGACUGCCUACGCAAGUAGAGAGGAAGGUGGGGAUGACGUCAAAUCAUCACGGCCCUUACGUCUUGGGCCACACACGUAAUACAAUGGCCGGUACAGAGGGCAGCUACACAGCGAUGUGAUGCAAAUCUCGAAAGCCGGUCUCAGUUCGGAUUGGAGUCUGCAACUCGACUCUAUGAAGCUGGAACCGCUAGUAAUCGCGCAUCAGCCAUGGCGCGGUGAAUACGUUCCCGGGCCU
rnacentral:rRNA from 1 species